AGCCCUAUGGUUCAGCGGUCAAGAAUUCGGCCCUUUGAAGGCCGAGACCCAGGUUCGAAUCCUGGUAGGGCUA
rnacentral:tRNA from 1 species